rnacentral:misc_RNA from 1 species
GCUGAAGAUGUUCGACAUGCUCGUGAAUUUCUAUCUAAGCUGGGUGAUCUUGAUCAAACACAGAUUUUUGCUAAGAUAGAAAAUGUGGAGGGAAUGGGCAACUUUGAUGAGAUUCUCGAAGAAGCUGAUGGCAUCAUUCUCUCUCGUGGAAAUUUAGGGAUAGAUCUACCACCUGAGAAGGUGUUCCUAUUUCAAAAGGCAGCUGUUCACAGGUGCAAUAUGGCUGGUAAACCUGCUGUGGUCACUCGUGUUGUGGACAGUAUGACUGACAACCUCAGGCCUACUCGUGCGGAGGCUACUGAUGUGGCAAAUGCUGUACUUGACGGGAG